rnacentral:rRNA from 1 species
ACGGAAGGCAGCAGUGGGGAAUAUUGGACAAUGGGGGAAACCCUGAUCCAGCGACGCCGCGUGAGUGAAGAAGUAUUUCGGUAUGUAAAGCUCUAUCAGCAGGGAAGAAAAUGACGGUACCUGACUAAGAAGCACCGGCUAAAUACGUGCCAGCAGCCGCGGUAAUACGUAUGGUGCAAGCGUUAUCCGGAUUUACUGGGUGUAAAGGGAGCGUAGACGGCGAGGCAAGUCUGAAGUGAAAUGCGGGGGCUCAACCCCUGAACUGCUUUGGAAACUGUUUUGCUAGAGUGCAGGAGAGGUAAGUGGAAUUCCUAGUGUAGCGGUGAAAUGCGUAGAUAUUAGGAGGAACACCGGCGGCGAAGGCGGCUUACUGGACUGUAACUGACGUUGAGGCUCGAAAGCGUGGGGAGCAAACAGGAUUAGAUACCCUGGUA